rnacentral:rRNA from 1 species
GACGAACGCUGGCGGCAUGCCUAAUACAUGCAAGUCGAACGAGACCUUCGGGUCUAGUGGCGCACGGGUGCGUAACGCGUGGGAAUCUGCCCUUGGGUUCGGAAUAACAGUUGGAAACGACUGCUAAUACCGGAUGAUGACGAAAGUCCAAAGAUUUAUCGCCCAGGGAUGAGCCCGCGUAGGAUUAGCUAGUUGGUGAG